UGGAGUGGCGUCGCCUGGCUCCUGGGACCGCGCCCUGCGCCCCAAGGGAGCACCCGGCCUCGGGCCUGCCUCCUCUCCUGAGAGGUCUCAGUAUCUGAAGACACACCCUAGUAGAAAACUACAAAGAAGUUGGGAGGUGGGGAAGAACUAUACUGUGAGUUUUAGUCUCUGCUACUAAUUUGUGACAUUGAUGUCUUUGUCGGUAAAAAAAAAAAAAA